UACGAAGGGGGCUAGCGUUGUUCGGAAUUACUGGGCGUAAAGCGCGCGUAGGCGGCCUUGCAAGUCAGGGGUGAAAGGCCUGGGCUUAACCCAGGAUCUGCCUUUGAGACUGCAAGGCUUGAGAGUGGGAGAGGAUGGUGGAAUUCCCAGUGUAGAGGUGAAAUUCGUAGAUAUUGGGAAGAACACCGGUUGCGAAGGCGGCCAUCUGGCCCACCACUGACGCUGGAGCGCGAAAGCGUGGGGAGCAAAC
rnacentral:rRNA from 1 species